UUUGGAUGCAGACAAUACAUUGAGCAAGAGGUAGAUCGGGCUGGCAUUGGAAAGGCUCUCCGUUGUCUUCUCCUACCUUUUUUCUCUUUUCAUCUUUUGUCUCUCCCCUUUGCUUCUAAUCUCCAUGUCCAUGCUGAAGAAAUCCUAUUCUUCAGUUGUAAUGGUCAUUUUUUCUGGAACACAAGGGAGUCAAAUGUAGUACUACUAGCUAGUCCUCUGAAAUAAGUUUCAGUAAACAGGUACAACGUACGACGAGGGGUCGUGCUCAAAUAUUUAUAUGUACAUACCUAUCCUCUGCUUGUUUCAACUUUCAAGAAGAAUCUGUGGUGGUAGAUCUGCCUAGCCCCUUACUAUGUACGAUUCAGCGCAGAUAAAAAUACGAAGCAAUAUGACCAAAAUCCCAUUCUUGGAGGGACAUACGUGUCUUCACCUAUUGUUUUGCAUCUCACUCGUUUGAAUCACCAAUAGUUCCUGUCAAUGAUCUAUCACCAUGGAAUAAAAUAUCCCACUUAUUGAAACUUUUGCAGAAGAUACUUUUCUGUAUUUUGCUUCCUCCUUCCUUCCCCAGCCAUGGCUGGGAGACUGGUCAUGAAACUUUACUGGUAGAGGAGGACGCAAUUUUGUCUUUUUUUUCUUCAAUAUGCCAUGACUGUUAAGCUCA